AAACCAAAAGACUGGCGACCGGCGCACGGGUGAGUAACACGUAUCCAACCUGCCUCAUACUCGGGGAUAGCCCUUCGAAAGAAAGAUUAAUAUCCGAUAGCAUAUAUUUCCCGCAUGGGUUUUAUAUUAAAGAAAUUCGGUAUGAGAUGGGGAUGCGUUCCAUUAGUUUGUUGGGGGGGUAACGGCCCACCAAGACUACGAUGGAUAGGGGUUCUGAGAGGAAGGUCCCCCACAUUGGAACUGAGACACGGUCCAA
rnacentral:rRNA from 1 species